GUGCCUAAUACAUGCAAGUCGUACGCACUGGCCCAACUGAUUGAUGGUGCUUGCACCUGAUUGACGAUGGAUCACCAGUGAGUGGCGGACGGGUGAGUAACACGUAGGUAACCUGCCCCGGAGCGGGGGAUAACAUUUGGAAACAGAUGCUAAUACCGCAUAACAACAAAAGCCACAUGGCUUUUGUUUGAAAGAUGGCUUUGGCUAUCACUCUGGGAUGGACCUGCGGUGCAUUAGCUAGUUGGUAAGGUAACGGCUUACCAAGGCGAUGAUGCAUAGCCGAGUUGAGAGACUGAUCGGCCACAAUGGAACUGAGACACGGUCCAUACUCCUACGGGAGGCAGCAGUAGGGAAUCUUCCACAAUGGGCGCAAGCCUGAUGGAGCAACACCGCGUGAGUGAAGAAGGGUUUCGGCUCGUAAAGCUCUGUUGUUGGAGAAGAACGUGCGUGAGAGUAACUGUUCACGCAGUGACGGUAUCCAACCAGAAAGUCACGGCUAACUACGUGCCAGCAGCCGCGGUAAUACGUAGGUGGCAAGCGUUAUCCGGAUUUAUUGGGCGUAAAGCGAGCGCAGGCGGUUGCUUAGGUCUGAUGUGAAAGCCUUCGGCUUAACCGAAGAAGUGCAUCGGAAACCGGGCGACUUGAGUGCAGAAGAGGACAGUGGAACUCCAUGUGUAGCGGUGGAAUGCGUAGAUAUAUGGAAGAACACCAGUGGCGAAGGCGGCUGUCUGGUCUGCAACUGACGCUGAGGCUCGAAAGCAUGGGUAGCGAACAGGAUUAGAUACCCUGGUAGUCCAUGCCGUAAACGAUGAGUGCUAGGUGUUGGAGGGUUUCCGCCCUUCAGUGCCGGAGCUAACGCAUUAAGCACUCCGCCUGGGGAGUACGACCGCAAGGUUGAAACUCAAAGGAAUUGACGGGGGCCCGCACAAGCGGUGGAGCAUGUGGUUUAAUUCGAAGCUACGCGAAGAACCUUACCAGGUCUUGACAUCUUGCGCUAACCUUAGAGAUAAGGCGUUCCCUUCGGGGACGCAAUGACAGGUGGUGCAUGGUCGUCGUCAGCUCGUGUCGUGAGAUGUUGGGUUAAGUCCCGCAACGAGCGCAACCCUUGUUACUAGUUGCCAGCAUUAAGUUGGGCACUCUAGUGAGACUGCCGGUGACAAACCGGAGGAAGGUGGGGACGACGUCAGAUCAUCAUGCCCCUUAUGACCUGGGCUACACACGUGCUACAAUGGACGGUACAACGAGUCGCAAGCUCGCGAGAGUAAGCUAAUCUCUUAAAGCCGUUCCCAGUUCGGACUGUAGGCUGCAACUCGCCUACACGAAGUCGGAAUCGCUAGUAAUCGCGGAUCAGCAUGCCGCGGUGAAUACGUUCCCGGGCCUUGUACACACCGCCCGUCACACCAUGGGAGUUUGUAACGCCCAAAGUCGGUGGCGCUAACCAUUAUGGAGGG
rnacentral:rRNA from 2 species